AUGCCUGUAAAAAAAUUUGCAAUGACAUUUUAAGGUGGCAGGCUUGCAGUUGACUAGCAGAUCACUUGAUGGUAUGAGCUCAGGUUUCAACCGAGCUUCCACGCACAAAUCAGUUGCACAUUUUUCUUUCAUUGUUUAGAUUUUCAUAAACAUAAGUACCGUUUCUUUUUUGUCGGGCUUCUAGCUGUGUCGUAGGACCUAACUGUUUACCUUUAUUUGUAUUGGUAGCCGUGUUACACAGACAGCUCAAUUUUUAUUGUAAAUCGUGACAUGGUAGGACUAAGAACAAUUGUGCAAAUUUGUUGCAGGUACACUAUGGCAGCUCCUACUCCUGCGUCCUACCACCACCCUGUCCUGACUACGUCCACUAGGGAGUUGGGAGCCUUUGGCGGCUUCUGCCACUGCAUCCUGCCGCCAACAUGUCCCAACUACGUCCACUAGGGAGUUGGCAGGCUUAGUGAUGAUGCCAGCAGGCUGACAGCCGACAGAAAGAUUCAGGUUGCCUCGAAAUUUUACCCAAGCCAUGCCGCACACUUGGGCCAAGCCUCUUGCGAACGAUGUAUAACCAAGCUCAACGCAUGAGUGUCGAGUGAGUCCGGAGAUCAAGGCAACCUGCUGUGCAACCAGCGUGCAACCUUUGGUGACCCCUCUAAUGUUCUACCUAUUUCACAGCUGUGCCUCACCUACCAUCUAUCCAAACAGCAUCACCAUCUGUGAUCACUUAUCGAACCAUGGAUGAAUGUUGGGGUGGAGUGAUUUGAACAUUCUAUUUGUCUCUUCAAAUUCUUUGCAAAUAUUUCUGCUAUUAUAAUUCAUGUGUCUUUAGUACCUAGUUUUUAAUAGUUCCUUUCUCUUAGAAUUCUCACCAUCUACUCCUGCUAUUAUAAUGUAUACCUGCCUUUAAGCCCUGUUUCUCGUAGUUCUUUUGUACUUCUGGAUGUAAUUGAUAGGUUCUUAAUUCUUGUUAUACAGAAGGCCAAAAUGCCAACUUACGGCAUUUUUUCUUCCUUUGAUAAUCUACAGCACUGCAAUGUGUUCAAGAAAUGUAACAUACCACGGGCUCUGGUGCAGGAUAAAUUUAACAGCAAUAUAGAGUACUUAUUUCAAGCACCCGUUAUUGUUGAAAAACUCAAGGAUAUAGGAGCACAAGAAAGAAAAUAUUGAACUAGAGAAACAUGGCCUCCCCUCAUAAGUCUGGUAAUAAUGUGACUUCCUUUCACUGCAAAGAUACUGGUACUCGCAUACAAGGUUUCAGACAUGAAAGCUAUGAUACCCUUGGCAUUUCUCAGUGCUUAUUUGCCACACUGACGAAUGUCAAAGGCAGCAUAGGUUUCAUGCACACAUUGGUUGUAUUACACCUUUUGAGUAUUGCAUUUCUCAAACACUCAGGUUUGCAGCAGUGCUUUAAAUAGCAGAUGUAUUUCCUAAUUUUCAGAAUUUGUUAGUGCAAGAGUAACGCUACAGAUCAUGUAAAAAUAAUUUUACAGACUGUAUGUCCAUGGAUGCAUGCUUCUUCUGAUGACGUAGCAGUGCCAUGUGGUUGGGGGAUGAAUGUCUAUUUCAGAUUUAAAUAUUGGCUUCCAGGCCUGGGUUAGUCUCCUACACUGAGUAUUCUAGGUCAGAGCCUAGUUACUGGAGGAAAGUGAAUUAAACUGGGAAUUAUAAACAUCAAAGGUCUUGUUCGGGACACUAAUGUAACAAUCAGCAAGGUUCUUUGUGCAUUAAUUUCCAGAUUUGCGAGACUAUAUUUUGACUGGUUUCAUUAAUGCGAGAACAAAUAUUUGUUCAUUCUCAUGCUAGAGUUGGCUGCCCCCAUUCGCAUACAACCCCUUUACAGGCUAAAAAUUCAGUGUAUUAAUAGGCUGUUUUUUGUUUUGCGCCGUCAGCGUUAAGGGAUGCAAACGGUGACAUACAACAGAAUGCAGAAAAAUGUCUAAGGAAUGCAAGCAGGGCAUAGGGCUUUUUAGGCAGAUGCAUGCAUGUGCGAUUUAUAAAACUCCCUAUGGUAUGCCUCAAGGCAUUUUUAAUCCUUUAGUAGAAACCCUGACGCCCACUUAUUGAGGGGAAAUGCUCCUCGAAACAACUUCUUUUAAUUAUUUGUACUAGAGAUUUGAAUGUGCCGCCAUUCAUAGGGAGUUUUAUGUAGAUUUGAAUUGCCAUUGGUUUUUGUGUAGCUGGUGUUUUUUUAGUUAUGUCCUACAUAGUGUCAAUAUAUUUUUAUGGGCACUUUCGUGUGUAAAAAGUUUCGCAAAUGGUUUCAUGCUGUAUCUUAUUUAGCUAGUUGUAUACCGCAAAGUGGCGAUACCUAUCCAAACAGCUUGUACAAUUACUGGAACUAUGCAAAAAUAUAAUAGGCCACUUUAAAUAAUUUUUACAAAUUGCAAUUUCAAUUAGAUAUCGGUGUUCUGCAUAUUUUGAAGAGUAUGUAUGCCAAAUUUCAUUUCUAUAGAACAAUUAUAAGUGCACAAGGUCAUUCUCAUGCUAUUAUGAGAAAAAAAUUAUUGAAGUAUUUUUAAUAAUUUUUUUUCACAGAGUACAUGACAGGUAUUCAAGAUUAGAAGGCAGGCCUUCCUGCCUGCCUACUGUCUUGCAUACUUCUAGUAACUUUACACGCUGUUUGAAUAGGUAUCGGCACCUUGCAGUCUACAGGGAGCUGAGUUAGCUGCAGCACACUGCUUUUUGUGAAGAUUUAUUACACAAGAAAAUGCCCGCAAAUAUCACUAUGUAUUUUGCUGUUGUCUAGGGCAUAACGCAAGAAGCAGCUAAACAAAAACUAAUGGAAUAUAUGAAAUCUGCAUGAAGAACUCUACAAUUAGCUCUCUUUUCAAACCUGUAGUACAAAUAAUAAAAAUAUUUCGAGUAAUAUUCAAUCAGCAAAACGUUCCUCUUGCUACAGUGACCUACAACAUAGCGACGCAAAGUUUAAGGCAAGUCCUUUUGUCGAAGCGAAUCUGGGCUGUCUUCCCAAGAGCUUCUGUUAAAGACGGUGAAUUUUCCUGCAUUUGCCAGAAGUGCAAUACUAAAAUGUUUGUGAAUGUGCAAUUGGUAUUGGCACGCUAACAGAAAAAAAGACAGUUCUGUGAAAUGUAGACUUGAUUAUAACUUUGUUGGACAUUUAAAUUUUGACUCCAUAUAUUUAUUUUGUGUUUUGUACGGAGUGUUUCAGCGGUGACUGCCACUAAUUAUUGAACAUAACUGCUUCAUGACAGUGCGACAAUUUUCACUAACAGAAAUUUAUAGCAGUGGCAGGCAUUAGAAUUACAGUACUCAAUAACGUCUACUUUAUAAGAACUCAGACUAGCACCAGUUCUGAGAUACACAUACCCAAAAAGUAAUCAUCAAAUAGAUUUCUCUUCCACACAGAAUUGUUCCACAAGGCUUACAGGAGGCUUUUUGGCAAAGUAAUAUCUGAAAGAGCAAAGCAUGUUCCACCAAGUAUGGUGACAAAUAUUUCAGAGCUGCCAGUCUGAGGACUCCUACAAAAUAACAAUACCCUCAGCACUGACUAGCUUCAAUAAUGGGAUGUCAGCAUUUUGCUGAAAUUAAUGAAACUUCAAUUAUCGUGAUCUUGUUUAAGAAGACGUUUGAAAUUAACAUGCAGUUCUAAUCUCUGUCACUUUUGUAAAUAUUUCCCAAUCAUUUUUUCAGGCUACAGUUUUUGGUAAUAAUGGUAUUCAUUGCGAAAGUGCUAGUACAUGGCAUUUAAUAAAAAAAGGUACUGGUCAUUGUAGAUUUUGUGUCUUGAGCAUUUGUUCUGUUCCGCCGCUGUUUCUUGAAAUCUGAAAUGAUGUACCCAUCUCUUUGUUAGCGAUAAACAGGGAAAUCUGUCGGUAUGUUUUGUUUAAAAUGGAGCUGAUCAACCCAAUAGUUAGGCUAUUUGCUAAUUAUAAAUUACAACGAUAAUAGUACAGGACCACAAAAACAGAUUGAUGCUGAAUAACAGCUGUGCCCAGCUACAUCCACGCAGCUGUGUUACACAAUGUGCAUGUGUUCAGAAGAGCCAAAUGCCCCAGAGAGAAAGCAACAGUAACUUAUUGUUCAUCUUGUACAAGCAGAUUAUGCGCCAGAUGUAAUUUAUACUCAGUAAAUACAUAAAUCAGUCAUGUGAGGUGUCUCGCUUUAGGUUGCAAAUUCGAACUUCUUGUAAUCUUGCUUGUUUUUAUUUUGUUUUCUUUGAGAACAUGAGUGACUUGAUUGCCUUGGCACAUAUUGUCAAAACUGUUUCAUCACUGGGAAUCACGAAAGUUCAUUUACACAUAAAAUUCCCAGUAACUGAUAUGGUAGGCUUCGACCUUAAUUCUCUUAACUUUCAUAUGUUUAUCUACCAAGUAGUUGUAUCGUUCAUUGAGACGUAUCCACGCAAUGCACAGUGGGAACCCAAAUUAUAAAUAUCUGUUCUUGCUUUCUACCCUGCUCUACAACAUAAUGAAGAUACAAAGCAAAACUAUAAGUUCGCAAUUGUCCCCCAUAACCAGAGUUUCGCUUAGAAUUUGAAAAAAAAAAUUGACAUCCUGCUAUGGUGUGAGAGUUGCUUUGGGCACCAAGUGAACUGCGUAGCACCUGUGCUAGAGUACACAACAAAGCAGAAAAUCGCACCAGAUUGGAAUGGCAGUGGUAAGUUAAGAACAGAUGUUUUAUUUCACGCACCAUUAAUGUGACAUAUCAUCUGCUCCUGUUUUGUAGGAAUGCAUACAUUGGGAAGACAAUUUUUUGCACCAAUCUUACCUUAGCGGGACACCAGAGAAAGGUAGAAAUCAAGAACAGGUAUUCACACUUUGUUGCCCACAGUGUGUUAUCUUGGUGUGUUUCACUCUACAAAAGACUGCUGUGGUAGAUAAUCAUAAAGACAAAGACAAAAGAAUUAAAAGAGGUAUGUGUCAGUCAUCCUUCCAUGACAUCCAGUGUUUAUAGAAACACUUCUUUCUGUAUAUGUGCCAAGCCGUAGGGAGGCUUUACGUAAAUCAAUCAUGCUUUCCAAGUUAAAAAUCGGAAUAAGGACAAUCACAAGAACAUUGUAUGAGUGAUUUGUAAAUGUGGCACCUAAUGUUACUUACUUACGUAUGCGCUGAGGGUAGAUUACAGCCAGUGCAUAAUCUGCUCUUACAGUAUAACUUGUGAUGAGUAAAAGAAACUUUCCUCACAUCUUCCUCUUUGUUUCGUUUGGAUCUUGGUGCACCAUGUAUAUUGUUACAGCUGCAUGCAUGCAGCUGGGUAUAGUUUGUGUUCUGCUUCCUCCCUUGUCCUCAUUAUUCAUGUGCUAUCUUUGCCGUAACAAAAUACAGCUACCUGUGCUACAUAUUUUGUCCGCGUGUUUGCGUUACGGCAAGUUUUGUAUUAGUGGUUAUUGCAAUCUGUGAAAUUGUCUGUGUCAGCUACUAUACUUUGUCUUCGAAAAGUACGUUUGUCAAGAUAAAUAAACAAUUAGUAUAAAUGUUGCUGUAUUUAUUUUUGUAAUAUUAUCUGUUGUGAAGCUUUUAUACACUGUUGCAUGUUGUUUGACAGAAUAAAAUUGAUGCACAACUUU